CAUGUCCAUACGACGAGGAUAACGGCUGGAAACGGCUGCUAAGACUGGAUAGGAAUAUAAAAGGCAUCUUUAAUAUUUUAAAGGACUUAAGGGUACACGUAUGGGGUGACUUGCGGCGCAUUAGCUAGUUGGUGGGGUAGAAGCCUACCAAGGCGAUGAUGCGUAGCCGGACUGAGAGGUUGAACGGCCACAUUGGGACUGAGACACGGCCCAGACUCCUACGGGAGGCGGCAGUAGGGAAUUUUCGGCAAUGGGGGGAACCCUGACCGAGCAAUGCCGCGUGAAUGAAGAAAUACUUAGGUAUGUAAAGUUCUUUUAUUGGGGAAGAAUGUCUUGUGUAGAACAAGAGUGACGGUACCCAUUGAAUAAGCCCCGGCUAACUAUGUGCCAGCAGCCGCGGUAAUACGUAGGGGGCAAGCGUUGUCCGGAAUUACUGGGCGUAAAGCGCACGCAGGCGGAAUUGUAAGUCGGUAGUAAAAGACGGAGGCUCAACUUCCGCAGAUCUAUCGAAACUGCAAAUCUUGAGUAUGUGAGAGGAAAGUGGAAUUCCCGGUGUAGCGGUGAGAUGCGUAGAUAUCGGGAGGAACACCAGUGGCGAAGGCGACUUCCUGGCACAAUACUGACGCUCAUGUGCGAAAGCUAGGGCAGCGAACGGGAUUAGAUACCCCGGUAGUCCUAACCGUAAACGAUGGAUACUA
rnacentral:rRNA from 1 species